rnacentral:tRNA from 1 species
GGGCCCGUGGUGUAGCGGCCUAACAUGCCAGCCUGUCACGCUGGAGACCGGGGGUUCGAAUCCCCUCGGGCCCG